rnacentral:rRNA from 1 species
UGGUGGGUAGUUUGACUGGGGCGGUCUCCUCCUAAAGAGUAACGGAGGAGCACGAAGGUUGGCUAAUCCUGGUCGGACAUCAGGAGGUUAGUGCAAUGGCAUAAGCCAGCUUGACUGCGAGCGUGACGGCGCGAGCAGGUGCGAAAGCAGGUCAUAGUGAUCCGGUGGUUCUGAAUGGAAGGGCCAUCGCUCAACGGAUAAAAGGUACUCCGGGGAUAACAGGCUGAUACCGCCCAAGAGUUCAUAUCGACGGCGGUGUUUGGCACCUCGAUGUCGGCUCAUCACAUCCUGGGGCUGAAGUAGGUCCCAAGGGUAUGGCUGUUCGCCAUUUAAAGUGGUACGCGAGCUGGGUUUAGAACGUCGUGAGACAGUUCGGUCCCUAUCUGCCGUGGGCGCUGGAGAACUGAGGGGGGCUGCUCCUAGUACGAGAGGACCGGAGUGGACGCAUCACUGGUGUUCGGGUUGUCAUGCCAAUGGCACUGCCCGGUAGCUAAAUGCGGAAGAGAUAAGUGCUGAAAGCAUCUAAGCACGAAACUUGCCCCGAGAUGAGUUCUCCCUGAGACUUUAGGUCUCCUGAAGGAACGUUGAAGACGACGACGUUGAUAGGCCGGGUGUGUAAGCGCAGCGAUGCGUUGAGCUAACCGGUACU